UCAGACGAUGCGUCAUGCAUAUCAAUAAGCGGAGGAAAAGAAACUAACAAGGAUUCCCUCAGUAACGGCGAGUGAAGCGGGAAGAGCUCAAAUUUGAAAUCUUGAAAGGUCACCUUUCACGAAUUGUAGUUUAAAGAAGUGUUUUCUGUUACGAUCGUAAUAUAAGUUCUUUGGAAUAGGACAUCACAGAGGGUGAGAAUCCCGUCUAUGAUUGCGAUUUGUAGCUUUGUGAUACACUUUCAAAGAGUCGGGUUGUUUGGGAAUGCAGCCCAAAACGGGAGGUAAAUUUCUUCUAAGGCUAAAUAUUGGCGAGAGACCGAUAGCGGACAAGUACCGUGAGGGAAAGAUGAAAAGAACUUUGAAAAGAGAGUUAAAUAGUACGUGAAAUUGUCAAAAGGGAAGCGUUUAACACCAGUGUUGUUUUCUGAAAAUCAACCUCUGUUAGCUAUAUGCAUGUUUGUUUAGACCUAAUCAGCUAUCUUGCAUGUUCUAUUGUUUGCAGUGGUGCACUUUUCAGUUUACAGGUCAACAUCAGUUUUUUUUACCGUAAAAAAGUUAAAGAAAGGUAGCUCAUGGCUCCGGUCGUGAGUGUUAUAGUCUUUUUCCUAUGCGGUAGGAGAGACUGAGGUCUGCAGUGUAGGCUAUUUGGCUAGAUACUCAGGUGCUAUGUGAUACCAUUUCAUAAACAACUUGUUGAUUAUGUUUUGUCUAUUGCAUACUCGCUUGUACUAUCAUACCUACGCUUAGGAUGUUGAAGACUCUACAGAGAUA
rnacentral:rRNA from 1 species